UACAGAGGGUGCAAGCGUUAAUCGGAAUUACUGGGCGUAAAGCGUGCGUAGACGGUUACAUAAGUCGGGUGUGAAAGCCCCGGGCUUAACCUGGGAAUUGCAUUCGAGACUGCGUAGCUAGGGUGCGGAAGAGGGAAGCGGAAUUUCCGGUGUAGCGGUGAAAUGCGUAGAUAUCGGAAGGAACACCAGUGGCGAAAGCGGCUUCCUGGUCCAGCACCGACGUUCAGGCACGAAAGCGUGGGGAGCAAACAGG
rnacentral:rRNA from 1 species